rnacentral:ncRNA from 1 species
GACCCGAAACCAGGCGAUCUAUCCAUGAGCAGGUUGAAGGUUGGGUAACACUAACUGGAGGACCGAACCCACUGUCGUUGAAAAGGUAGGGGAUGACUUGUGGAUAGGGGUGAAAGGCUAAUCGAACCCGGAGAUAGCUGG